rnacentral:lncRNA from 1 species
ACGUUAACUCCGGCGAUGAAAGCACGGCAGAGAGGACAAUUAGAGUGAGAUUUCAACCAAGUAUCAAUACAAGGAACAUGAAACGCGUGGUUGCAUUUAGGUAACAAUCUCAAGCUCUCGUUUUCUUGAAACUCGCUUAAACAAACAGAACAAUCUGAUGAUUCAACAAAUCCAUCCAUCUUUCUGUAUUUGUAAACAGUAAUCGAUUUAAUCAGAGAUUCAUCGAGUCCAUCACCACCACCAAUCGUCGGAUUCGGAUUCGUAGCUUCUUGCCAUGUGUAAUCUGAUGAGAUUCCAUGAUCUCGGUUUAUAACUGCGGCGGAGGUGGAGGAGGAGGAGUUGUGGCGACGGCGGUGGCAGUAUUUGGAGAUGAGAGUGUAGUAGCUGACGAGGAUGAAGGCACUAGCGAGGAUUCCGAUAAGAGCGAUGAGGAGAGGAGAGAAAUCAGAGGAGGAAGAGUCGUCUUCGUCGUCGAGGUAGAAGGAAGGAGGAGGAGGGAAGAUGACGUAACACCAUUGAGG